CCUUUUGGUUCGGAACAACACAGGGAAACUUGUGCUAAUACCGGAUAAGCCCUUACGGGGAAAGAUUUAUCGCCGAAAGAUCGGCCCGCGUCUGAUUAGCUAGUUGGUGAGGUAACGGCUCACCAAGGCGACGAUCAGUAGCUGGUCUGAGAGGAUGAUCAGCCACAUUGGGACUGAGCCAGGGUCAAAACUUCAACGGGAGGCAGCAGUGGGGAAUAUUGGACAAUGGGCGCAAGCCUGAUCCAGCCAUGCCGCGUGAGUGAUGAAGGCCCUAGGGUUGUAAAGCUCUUUUGUGCGGGAAGAUAAUGACGGUACCGCAAGAAUAAGCCCCGGCUAACUUCGUGCCAGCAGCCGCGGUAAUACGAAGGGGGCUAGAGUUGCUCGGAAUCACUGGGCGUAAAGGGUGCGUAGGCGGGUCUUUAAGUCAGGGGUGAAAUCCUGGAGCUCAACUCCAGAACUGCCUUUGAUACUGAAGAUCUUGAGUUCGGGAGAGGUGAGUGGAACUGCGAGUGUAGAGGUGAAAUUCGUAGAUAUUCGCAAGAACACCAGUGGCGAAGGCGGCUCACUGGCCCGAUACUGACGCUGAGGCACGAAAGCGUGGGGAGCAAACAGGAUUAGAUACCCUGGUAGUCCACGCCGUAAACGAUGAA
rnacentral:rRNA from 1 species